rnacentral:rRNA from 1 species
UACGUAGGGUGCAAGCGUUGUCCGGAAUUAUUGGGCGUAAAGAGCUCGUAGGCGGUCUGUCACGUCUGCUGUGAAAACUCGGGGCUUAACCCCGGGCCUGCAGUGGGUACGGGCAGACUAGAGUGCGGUAGGGGAGACUGGAAUUCCUGGUGUAGCGGUGAAAUGCGCAGAUAUCAGGAGGAACACCGGCGGUGAAGGCGGGUCUCUGGGCCGUAACUGACGCUGAGGAGCGAAAGCGUGGGGAGCGAACAGG